GGAUGAACAUGUUAACCCUUUCCUUGCCACACCCAAUUAAGCUCCCAACUGUUGGUUCCUGCUCUUCAGCUCCAUCCAAGGAGGUGAAUACUGGCUGUAUAACAACCUGGCUAUAACCACCAUGCCAAAUUCUGCUGUGCUAUUGGUUUGUUAGAUAUAGGAAGGUGUUGACAAGAGCAAAAAUGUUGCUUGAUUGUUGAGAAAAUGCCUCUGUGAGAGGUUUUAAUGGCUUCUUCCACUCACAUGAAGAUAAUAAAUACAGAAGUGAUAAUUUCCUGUGUGCAAGAGGCCUGGUCCACAGCCAUGGGAUCGUGGCAAGCUUCCACAGGGAAAACUCACCACAGGAAAACUGCAAACUGCACCCUUUUAUAGACCUUGGAGGGAGGAAUGGCUGGGAGAAGCUAAAGGAAUACCACAGAUGAAACUAAAAGGUACUAUAAAUAUUUUUUAUUUGCAUCAGUAUUCAGAUAAUAUUAACUGAAAACAGAGUCUCAUUAUCAGGUGCAAUUUACCAUCCAUAGUAAAAGAGAAUUUCUGUCCAA
rnacentral:lncRNA from 1 species